GCCGGAGGUAGGGUCCAGCGGC
rnacentral:snRNA from 1 species